rnacentral:rRNA from 1 species
GGUUAAGCGACUAAGCGUACACGGUGGAUGCCCUGGCAGUCAGAGGCGAUGAAGGACGUGCUAAUCUGCGAUAAGCGUCGGUAAGGUGAUAUGAACCGUUAUAACCGGCGAUUUCCGAAUGGGGAAACCCAGUGUGUUUCGACACACUAUCAUUAACUGAAUCCAUAGGUUAAUGAGGCGAACCGGGGGAACUGAAACAUCUAAGUACCCCGAGGAAAAGAAAUCAACCGAGAUUCCCCCAGUAGCGGCGAGCGAACGGGGAGCAGCCCAGAGCCUGAAUCAGUGUGUGUGUUAGUGGAAGCGUCUGGAAAGGCGCGCGAUACAGGGUGACAGCCCCGUACACAAAAAUGCACAUACUGUGAGCUCGAUGAGUAGGGCGGGACACGUGGUAUCCUGUCUGAAUAUGGGGGGACCAUCCUCCAAGGCUAAAUACUCCUGACUGACCGAUAGUGAACCAGUACCGUGAGGGAAAGGCGAAAAGAACCCCGGCGAGGGGAGUGAAAAAGAACCUGAAACCGUGUACGUACAAGCAGUGGGAGCACGCUUAGGCGUGUGACUGCGUACCUUUUGUAUAAUGGGUCAGCGACUUAUAUUCUGUAGCAAGGUUAACCGAAUAGGGGAGCCGAAGGGAAACCGAGUCUUAACUGGGCGUUAAGUUGCAGGGUAUAGACCCGAAACCCGGUGAUCUAGCCAUGGGCAGGUUGAAGGUUGGGUAACACUAACUGGAGGACCGAACCGACUAAUGUUGAAAAAUUAGCGGAUGACUUGUGGCUGGGGGUGAAAGGCCAAUCAAACCGGGAGAUAGCUGGUUCUCCCCGAAAGCUAUUUAGGUAGCGCCUCGUGAAUUCAUCUCCGGGGGUAGAGCACUGUUUCGGCAAGGGGGUCAUCCCGACUUACCAACCCGAUGCAAACUGCGAAUACCGGAGAAUGUUAUCACGGGAGACACACGGCGGGUGCUAACGUCCGUCGUGAAGAGGGAAACAACCCAGACCGCCAGCUAAGGUCCCAAAGUCAUGGUUAAGUGGGAAACGAUGUGGGAAGGCCCAGACAGCCAGGAUGUUGGCUUAGAAGCAGCCAUCAUUUAAAGAAAGCGUAAUAGCUCACUGGUCGAGUCGGCCUGCGCGGAAGAUGUAACGGGGCUAAACCAUGCACCGAAGCUGCGGCAGCGACGCUUAUGCGUUGUUGGGUAGGGGAGCGUUCUGUAAGCCUGCGAAGGUGUGCUGUGAGGCAUGCUGGAGGUAUCAGAAGUGCGAAUGCUGACAUAAGUAACGAUAAAGCGGGUGAAAAGCCCGCUCGCCGGAAGACCAAGGGUUCCUGUCCAACGUUAAUCGGGGCAGGGUGAGUCGACCCCUAAGGCGAGGCCGAAAGGCGUAGUCGAUGGGAAACAGGUUAAUAUUCCUGUACUUGGUGUUACUGCGAAGGGGGGACGGAGAAGGCUAUGUUGGCCGGGCGACGGUUGUCCCGGUUUAAGCGUGUAGGCUGGUUUUCCAGGCAAAUCCGGAAAAUCAAGGCUGAGGCGUGAUGACGAGGCACUACGGUGCUGAAGCAACAAAUGCCCUGCUUCCAGGAAAAGCCUCUAAGCAUCAGGUAACAUCAAAUCGUACCCCAAACCGACACAGGUGGUCAGGUAGAGAAUACCAAGGCGCUUGAGAGAACUCGGGUGAAGGAACUAGGCAAAAUGGUGCCGUAACUUCGGGAGAAGGCACGCUGAUAUGUAGGUGAGGUCCCUCGCGGAUGGAGCUGAAAUCAGUCGAAGAUACCAGCUGGCUGCAACUGUUUAUUAAAAACACAGCACUGUGCAAACACGAAAGUGGACGUAUACGGUGUGACGCCUGCCCGGUGCCGGAAGGUUAAUUGAUGGGGUUAGCGCAAGCGAAGCUCUUGAUCGAAGCCCCGGUAAACGGCGGCCGUAACUAUAACGGUCCUAAGGUAGCGAAAUUCCUUGUCGGGUAAGUUCCGACCUGCACGAAUGGCGUAAUGAUGGCCAGGCUGUCUCCACCCGAGACUCAGUGAAAUUGAACUCGCUGUGAAGAUGCAGUGUACCCGCGGCAAGACGGAAAGACCCCGUGAACCUUUACUAUAGCUUGACACUGAACAUUGAGCCUUGAUGUGUAGGAUAGGUGGGAGGCUUAGAAGUGUGGACGCCAGUCUGCAUGGAGCCGACCUUGAAAUACCACCCUUUAAUGUUUGAUGUUCUAACGUUGACCCGUGAUCCGGGUUGCGGACAGUGUCUGGUGGGUAGUUUGACUGGGGCGGUCUCCUCCUAAAGAGUAACGGAGGAGCACGAAGGUUGGCUAAUCCUGGUCGGACAUCAGGAGGUUAGUGCAAUGGCAUAAGCCAGCUUGACUGCGAGCGUGACGGCGCGAGCAGGUGCGAAAGCAGGUCAUAGUGAUCCGGUGGUUCUGAAUGGAAGGGCCAUCGCUCAACGGAUAAAAGGUACUCCGGGGAUAACAGGCUGAUACCGCCCAAGAGUUCAUAUCGACGGCGGUGUUUGGCACCUCGAUGUCGGCUCAUCACAUCCUGGGGCUGAAGUAGGUCCCAAGGGUAUGGCUGUUCGCCAUUUAAAGUGGUACGCGAGCUGGGUUUAGAACGUCGUGAGACAGUUCGGUCCCUAUCUGCCGUGGGCGCUGGAGAACUGAGGGGGGCUGCUCCUAGUACGAGAGGACCGGAGUGGACGCAUCACUGGUGUUCGGGUUGUCAUGCCAAUGGCACUGCCCGGUAGCUAAAUGCGGAAGAGAUAAGUGCUGAAAGCAUCUAAGCACGAAACUUGCCCCGAGAUGAGUUCUCCCUGACCCUUUAAGGGUCCUGAAGGAACGUUGAAGACGACGACGUUGAUAGGCCGGGUGUGUAAGCGCAGCGAUGCGUUGAGCUAACCGGUACUAAUGAACCGUGAGGCUUAACCUU